CCUCGCGAAGUUUCCCAGAACACGCAGGUCGUCCUCCAUUUUCUUCUUACGGCGUUCUGAGAAUCAUCCAGGAAAUUGCUGAGCGGACUCAGUCGCUUCUAGCUUUGUGUGUAUAUAUAUAUAUAUAUAUAUAUAUAUAUAAGAAAAAGGACAAAGAUUAACAAGCUGCAUUCUGAGGUUGUUUUGUUCCAUCUUCGCCCUACUUUCUCUCUUAUAGCAGAAGAUCAUCGGGAUCAUCAUGUAUCAGCUAUCGUACGCGUCUGAUGUUUGCAACUUCUUGCCUAAGGUUUGUUUUGCAUGGGAAGGUGGAUGAAUUAAUAUUAAUGGUGUCGACGAUGCUGAUAAAGGCCAGGCAAUAAUUGUCGGAGACUGAUCACAUGAGUAGCAAACAACAUUGGUCAAGUGUCGCAUCCAUGCAUGCAAAACAAGGUUAAGCCUAAUUAUUUGUCAUAAUAUUAAUGAUAUAUUAAUUAUGGUUAUGCACC